rnacentral:rRNA from 1 species
GUGUCAGCAGCCGCGGUAACACGUAGGGCGCAAGCGUUGUCCGGAAUUAUUGGGCGUAAAGAGCUCGUAGGCGGUCUGUUGCGUCCGCUGUGAAAACUCGGGGCUUAACCCCGAGCCUGCAGUGGAUACGGGCAGACUAGAGGUAGGUAGGGGAGAAUGGAAUUCCCGGUGUAGCGGUGAAAUGCGCAGAUAUCGGGAGGAACACCGGUGGCGAAGGCGGUUCUCUGGGCCUUACCUGACGCUGAGGAGCGAAAGCGUGGGGAGCGAACAGGAUUAGAAACCCUUGUAGUCC